UACAUAGGGUGCGAGCGUUGUCCGGAAUUACUGGGCGUAAAGAGCUCGUAGGUGGUUUGUCGCGUUGUUCGUGAAAACUCACAGCUCAACUGUGGGCGUGCGGGCGAUACGGGCAGACUGGAGUACUGCAGGGGAGACUGGAAUUCCUGGUGUAGCGGUGGAAUGCGCAGAGUAUCAGGAGGAACACCGGUGGCGAAGGCGGGUCUCUGG
rnacentral:rRNA from 1 species